GUGUUUUUAGUUUAAGCUGGAUAAAACAUCAAUCUUCUAAAUUGACUAUGCGGGUUCGAGUCCCUCAAAAUACGC
rnacentral:tRNA from 1 species